UACGGAGGGUGCAAGCGUUAUCCGGAUUUACUGGGUUUAAAGGGUGUGUAGGCGGACUAUUAAGUCAGGGGUGAAAUCCCGAGGCUCAACCUCGGAACUGCCUUUGAUACUAUUAGUCUUGAAUGUUGUUGAGGUGGGCGGAACGGGCCAUGUAGCGGUGAAAUGCAUAGAUAUGACCCGGAACACCGAUUGCGAUGGCAGCCCGCUAAGCAACUAUUGACGCUGAGGCACGAAAGCGUGGGGAUCAAACAGG
rnacentral:rRNA from 1 species